rnacentral:rRNA from 3 species
GACCUCAAAUCAGGUAGGAUUACCCGCUGAACUUAAGCAUAUC